rnacentral:rRNA from 1 species
GCCGAGCGGUAGAGUCUCUUCGGAGACUUGAGAGCGGCGCACGGGUGCGGAACACGUGUGCAACCUGCCUUUAUCUGGGGGAUAGCCUUUCGAAAGGAAGAUUAAUACCCCAUAAUAUAAGAAACGGCAUCGUUUUUUAUUGAAAACUCCGGUGGAUAGAGAUGGGCACGCGCAAGAUUAGAUAGUUGGUGAGGUAACGGCUCACCAAGUCUGCGAUCUUUAGGGGGCCUGAGAGGGUGAUCCCCCACACUGGUACUGAGACACGGACCAGACUCCUACGGGAGGCAGCAGUGAGGAAUAUUGGACAAUGGGUGAGAGCCUGAUCCAGCCAUCCCGCGUGAAGGACGACGGCCCUAUGGGUUGUAAACUUCUUUUGUAUAGGGAUAAACCUACCCUCGUGAGGGUAGCUGAAGGUACUAUACGAAUAAGCACCGGCUAACUCCGUGCCAGCAGCCGCGGUAAUACGGAGGGUGCAAGCGUUAUCCGGAUUUAUUGGGUUUAAAGGGUCCGUAGGCGGAUCUGUAAGUCAGUGGUGAAAUCUCACAGCUUAACUGUGAAACUGCCAUUGAUACUGCAGGUCUUGAGUGUUGUUGAAGUAGCUGGAAUAAGUAGUGUAGCGGUGAAAUGCAUAGAUAUUACUUAGAACACCAAUUGCGAAGGCAGGUUACUAAGCAACAACUGACGCUGAUGGACGAAAGCGUGGGGAGCGAACAGGAUUAGAUACCCUGGUAGUCCACGCCGUAACGAUGCUAACUCGUUUUUGGGAUUUCGGAUUCAGAGACUAAGCGAAAGUGAUAAGUUAGCCACCUGGGGGAGUACGACGCAGUUUGAAACUCAAAGGAUUUGACGGGGGCCCGCACAAGCGGUGGAUUAUGUGGUUUAAUUCGAUGAUACGCGAGGAACCUUACCAAGGCUUAAAUGGGAAUUGAUCGGUUUAGAAAUAGACCUUCCUUCGGGCAAUUUUCAAGGUGCUGUAUGGUUGUCGUCAGCUCGUGCCGUGAGGUGUUAGGUUAAGUCCUGCAACGAGCGCAACCCCCCUCACUAGUUGCCAUCAUUAAGUUGGGGACUCUAGUGAGACGGCCUACGCAAGUAGAGAGGAAGGUGGGGAAGACGUCAAAUCAUCACGGCCCUUACGCCUUGGGCCACACACGUAAUACAAUGGCCGGUACAGAGGGCAGCUACACUGCGAAGUGAUGCAAAUCUCGAAAGCCGGUCUCAGUUCGGAUUGGAGUCUGCAACUCGACUCUUUGAAGCUGGAAUCGCUAGUAAUCGCGCAUCAGCCAUGGCGCGGUGAAUACGUUCCCGGGCCUUGUACACACC